rnacentral:ncRNA from 2 species
UUGACUUUUGCGCCCCCCUGUUGUCCUCUGCCCGCUGUAGCGGGGAAUUCCGUGCAAAUCGGAAACAGUCGCGCUGCGGUAAGAGGGUACAGAGCUUCUUCGCCUUGCCGGAAACAUCCCGGCGGGGCGCGACAGCCAGCCGUCACAGGUGAAGGCGAAGCCGAGGCGCGGGGCCGUUGUCCUGAUUAUGAUCAGAAACGCGGGCCUCCACAUCCCUCAAGUCCGAACACCCGCUGGCCGGGGCGUUUUGCG